GACGAACGCUGGCGGCGUGCUUAACACAUGCAAGUCGAACGGAAAGGCCCUGCUUUUGUGGGGUGCUCGAGUGGCGAACGGGUGAGUAACACGUGAGUAACCUGCCCUUGACUUUGGGAUAACUUCAGGAAACUGGGGCUAAUACCGGAUAGGAGCUCCUGCUGCAUGGUGGGGGUUGGAAAGUUUCGGCGGUUGGGGAUGGACUCGCGGCUUAUCAGCUUGUUGGUGGGGUAGUGGCUUACCAAGGCUUUGACGGGUAGCCGGCCUGAGAGGGUGACCGGCCACAUUGGGACUGAGAUACGGCCCAGAGUCCUACGGGAGGCAGCAGUGGGGAAUAUUGCACAAUGGGCGGAAGCCUGAUGCAGCAACGCCGCGGGCGGGAUGACGGCCUUCGGGUUGUAAACCGCUUUCGCCUGUGACGAAGCGUGAGUGACGGUAAUGGGUAAAGAAGCACCGGCUAACUACGUG
rnacentral:rRNA from 1 species